GGUUGUUAAAGAGCCGCGGUAUAUUGACCGUGCAAAGGUAGCAUAAUCAUUUGGGAUUUAAUUGGGGCCUAGAAUGAAUGGUUGGACAAAGGAAUAGCUGUCUUUAUGGUAGGGGUUGAAGUUUACUUUUAAGUGAAAAGGCUUAAAUAAAUCAAAGGGACGAUAAGACCCUAUAAAGCAUUUCGUUGGGGCGAUGAAGGCAUAAUUAAUAACUGCUAAAGAAAUGAAGUAUUCUAUAAUAAGAGAUUGAUCCUAUAUAAAGAUUUAAAGGCUAAGUUACUUUAGGGAUAACAGCGUUAUUUCUUUUGAGAGUUCAUAUCGAAAAAGAAGAUUGCGACCUCGAUGUUGAAUUAAAAUGUCUAUAUAAUGAAGGUGUUAUAUAAGAGGGUCUGUUCGACCUUUAAAUUUUU
rnacentral:rRNA from 1 species